rnacentral:rRNA from 1 species
GGUGCUAACGUCCGGACUCAAAAGGGAAACAACCCAGACCGCCGGCUAAGGUCCCCAAUAACAGCUAAGUGGAAAACGAAGUGGAAAGGCCGUGACAACCAGGAAGUUGGCUUAGAAGCAGCCAUCCUUCAAAGAAAGCGUAAUAGCUCACUGGUCGAGUCCUUCUGCGCGGAAGAUGUAACGGGGCUAAGCUGUUAACCGAAGCCGCGGAUGCACUGAUUAUUCAGUGCGUGGUAGGGGAGCGUUCUGUAAGUCUGCGAAGGCGGUUCGAGAGGACUGCUGGAGAUAUCAGAAGUGCGAAUGCUGACAUGAGUAACGUUAAAGCAGGUGAAAAGCCUGCUCGCCGUAAGCCCAAGGAUUCCUGCUCUACGUUCAUCGGAGCAGGGUGAGUCGGCUCCUAAGGUCAGGCCGAAAGGCGUAGCCGAUGGGAAUCAGGUUAAUAUUCCUGAACCUGCGUCAGAUGCGAUGGGGGGACGGAGCAUGAAAGAUCAUCCGGGUGUUGGAUGUCCCGGUUGUUGAGCGUAGGAGGUCUGCAGGCAAAUCCGCAGACGCAUCUCCAAGGCAAAGACACGUGCCGCCACGGCGGCGAAGUGAUCGGAAGUGCUUCCAAGAAAAGCCUCUAAGCACCAGUCUGGCGCGGACCGUACCGCAAACCGACACUGGUGGGCGAGCUGAAUAUGCUCAGGCGCUUGAGAGAACUCGGGAGAAGGAACUCGGCAAAUUGACACCGUAACUUCGGAAGAAGGUGUGCCGUAGUACCGUGAGAGGAGAGACACCUUGAGCGGGAAUCGGUCUCAGAGAAUAGGUGGCUGCGACUGUUUAUUAAAAACACAGCACUCUGCAAAGUCGAAAGACGACGUAUAGGGUGUGAUGCCUGCCCGGUGCUGGAAGAUUAAUUGAUGGGGUGAGAGCCCUUGAUCGAAGUCCCAGUAAACGGCGGCCGUAACUAUAACGGUCCUAAGGUAGCGAAAUUCCUUGUCGGGUAAGUUCCGACCUGCACGAAUGGCAUAAUGAUGGCCACACUGUCUCCUCCUGAGACUCAGUGAAGUUGAAAUGUUUGUGAUGAUGCAAUCUCCCCGCGGCUAGACGGAAAGACCCCAUGAACCUUUACUGCAGCUUUGCAUUGAACUGUGAACCGAUUUGUGUAGGAUAGGUGGGAGGCAGAGAAGAGGCCACGCCAGUGGUCUUGGAGCCGGCCUUGAAAUACCACCCUGAUUUGUUUGCGGUUCUAACCACGGACAGUGAUCCUGUCUUGGGACCGUGCAUGGUAGGCAGUUUGACUGGGGCGGUCUCCUCCUAAAGGGUAACGGAGGAGUACGAAGGUACGCUAGGUACGGUCGGAAAUCGUGCUGAUAGUGCAAUGGCAAAAGCGUGCUUGACUGCGAGAGCAACAACUCGAGCAGAUGCGAAAGCAGGUCAUAGUGAUCCGGUGGCUCUGAAUGGAAGGGCCAUCGCUCAACGGAUAAAAGGUACUCUGGGGAUAACAGGCUGAUACCGCCCAAGAGUUCAUAUCGACGGCGGUGUUUGGCACCUCGAUGUCGGCUCAUCUCAUCCUGGGGCUGUAGUCGGUCCCAAGGGUAUGGCUGUUCGCCAUUUAAAGAGGUACGUGAGCUGGGUUUAAAACGUCGUGAGACAGUUUGGUCCCUAUCUGCCGUGGGCGUUGGAAGAUUGACGGGGGCUGCUCCUAGUACGAGAGGACCGGAGUGGACGCACCUCUGGUGUACCGGUUGUCACGCCAGUGGCAUUGCCGGGUAGCUAAGUGCGGAAGAGAUAACCGCUGAAAGCAUCUAAGCGGGAAACUUGCCUGAAGAUGAGUCUUCCCGGAGGUAAAACCUCCCUCAAGAGUCGUCCGAGACCAGGACGUCGAUAGGUCAGGUGUGUAAGCGCUGUGAGGCGUUGAGCUAACUGAUACUAAUUGCUCGUGAGGCUUGAUC